rnacentral:rRNA from 1 species
UACGUAGGGGGCUAGCGUUGUCCGGAAUCAUUGGGCGUAAAGAGCGUGUAGGCGGCCCGGUAAGUCCGCUGUGAAAGUCAAAGGCUCAACCUUUGAAUGUCAGCGGAUACUGCCGGGCUAGAGUCCGGAAGAGGCGAGUGGAACUCCUGGUGUAGCGGUGAAAUGCGCAGAUAUCAGGAAGAACACCCGUGGCUAAGGCGGCUCUCUAGUACGGUACUGACGCUGAGACGCGAAAGCGUGGGGAGCGAACAGG